UACGUAGGGUGCGAGCGUUAAUCGGAAUUACUGGGCGUAAAGCGUGCGCAGGCGGUUUUGUAAGCCAGCUGGGAAAUCCCCGGGCUUAACCUGGGAAUGGCAUUUGGGACUGCAAGGCUCGAGUGCGGCAGAGGAGACUGGAAUUCCUGGUGUAGCAGUGAAAUGCGUAGAUAUCAGGAGGAACACCGAUGGCGAAGGCAGGUCUCUGGGCUGACACUGACGCUCAUGCACGAAAGCGUGGGGAGCAAACAGG
rnacentral:rRNA from 1 species